rnacentral:rRNA from 1 species
AACCACUGGCCUAAGAACUCCAAAGAUUCCAGACCUUGUCCGAACUUGGAAGCUAAAUAGAAUUUGCCCUGGUUAGUACUUAUAUGGGAGACCAUCAAUGAAUACUGGGUGCUGUAGUGU